CUUUAGAUUGGAAGAUGAAUAUAGUGACGAGAACGAGCACUAGUGAAGAGUCGCCAAGAUGAAUUAAUAUCAAUGAUAUGAGAAUGUAACCUAGGCAUUGCAAAAGGAUGCAGAGGAUAGUGCAAAAUGAUUAACCCUGUGGACCAGAGAUCGGACCGCGACCACCGCGACCACUGCGCCCACCGCGACCCCGAAGAACUCGCCCACGGCCUCUUGUCGGCGUAGAGGAAAGCAUAGCAGCCUGCCUAAUGGAAGCCCUUUCUCUAGCCCUCUCAUUCAAAUUUAUGGUUCUUGAGCUCCUAUUGACAGGUGAAACCUGUUUCCCUUCUUCUGUUUCAGAAGCAGCACUGUCAACCGGACCCCCUUCUUUUGAAUUGCUACUAUGAACUGGACUGCUUGAUGGUUUCUCACCAGUAACAACAGUAUCCACCGCCUGAUCACUUUCUGCAGCAACCUGGUCACCACCAUCAUUCAACUUAUCAGAACUUUCAGCUAGCUCUUCUGUCGCAUCAACUUCAUCAUUCU